AAUGCAGUUUCCAGGACACAGUGAGCUACUUUGGGGUGAAGCCAAAGUCCGGAGAGAAAGACGUGGCCCCGAAUUUAGUUUUUAUGCUUUGGUACGAGUUUUGCAACGACUUCAAGAACGCCUGGACACGACAAAACAAGAACAUCUCCAAGGAGAAGUUAAAGGAAGCUCAGGAAAACAUCAAGAAGAUCACAGCGGAGAAGAGAGUGGAAACCAAGAAGAUCAAUGCCAACAGUCUGAAAGAGAGGCUGCGGCAGAAGGAGGCUGGCGUGUCUUCCAGCUGAGUGAAAUCACAGCAGAAGAAGAAACAAGGAGUGGUAGGAGAAGAUCGUAGAUCAGAAGGCCUCAUUGUGUGUGUUUUCCACCUGCUUCAACAACAGCGGUCUGCUCUUCACUCUCUCUACAGACUCACAAAAAAACCUCGCCGGACAACUACUGCGGUUCUCUGUUUACUAACACCCACACAUCCCCACCCUACCCUCCGAUGCAUGGCUGCCACAGCCCAAGUGAUGAGUCAUAAAGGCCAAAGAUCGAUCUCAUUCAUCCGGCAGGGCGCGACCUCCGAGUGCCCAGCUUGUGAAAGGUCUCAAGGGGUCAGUGGGAUUCACAGCUGACCCAUCCAAGAGGUUCCUUCUGGAUCUACAAGAGCUGAGAAACCAUUUGUUUCUGACGUAAGAGAGCAGAGUGAUAACGCUGCUACAUUUUUCAAAGACGGUGCACAUACGGCUGCCUGAAAAGGAAAAUCCCCAUUGACAAACUAGAAAUCUGUGUCUGGAAACGGUAAAAAAUGCUAGUGUUCCUAGCUUUUCAUUCCCCAUGGCUCAUUAAAAGUAUUUGUAAAUAGGUCAUGUUGUAGAAUCUGCAGGGCCCAUGCAGCAGCAGGAGGAUGAUGAAUGAUUCGCGCCAGGCUUUAUGAGCAGAUUAAGACAUGUUGUGUAUAAAUGUGUGUGUGCACACAAAUUGUGGAGGUUUCACUGUUUCGUGUAGCACUGCACCAGACUGACAUCUCCUUGGUGGGGCCAGAGAAGGGGCCCUCAAACACACACAGAGGUACUUCAAAAACAUCAGAAGAAAACAACAUUUUGCCAUUCACCCACUCAUCACAGAUAUUAAAUAUAAAUUGUUUGUCCUUCAUUGAGUGUCACCUUUACGCACUUUACUGCUUGCUGUAGCUGUAUGUUGUAGCUCGCUAUUAGCUACACUCCCCUGGUUAUGCUAACUGCGUGCAUUUUUCAGAUGUCCAGCACUUUUUUUGCACCUCUUUUCCUAUGCAAGGGUACGCUUUCCUUGUUAGAAGUUUUAUGAAUUUUACGGCUUUAUGAUUUAAACGUGUUCGAUUUAUUUUUUUCUGAGAAAGUCUAUGGCAAGUGUAUAUUUUUGUUAUCUGAAAUUUAAGAUGUAACCACACUCCUGUGUCAUUCAAGAAAAAUCUAUUUAUGUAAGGAAAGAUUUAUUUUCUGCCAAAAGGCAUCAGCGUUGGUCCCUUCGAGGCUGUAUUUGUAUGAGUUGUAAUUGGCUGAGAAGCUGCGUAGUUAAAUCAGAAGAAAGAUAUAUUUUCCCAUGGAUGUUGUGCCCGAGAUGUUGAAUGUCGGUGGAGAUUUGCCUUUUCUCUUUAGUUUUGGAGAGAUGAGGAUUGUAUUUUGGGGUAUUGAGAACAUUUUAGUACAUCACCUAAAGCCAUGCAAGUUGCUAUAUCUCAGACAGACUUCUAUUAUCAGAGAAUCCAUAAAAUUGCACCUUGAAUUACUAUUUGUACCCUCCUAAGUCUUUCACCUGUGCCAUUUAUUUUGUAAAAAAAUAGAUAUUUCAUGAAAUGCUAUGUUUAAAAAGAAAAAGCUGAUGCUGACAAAGGAACUGCUGUAGCCUCUACUGUAUGUAUGUAUGUAACCCUCAGUAGCUCCCAUACGUGCUCUGUAAUUUUCUGGAAUUGUUUUAAAUUUCGAGAUUAAAGUACUGGAUGCCGAACAAACUGGACCAACUUCUCUAAAUGUUCUUCUGUCGACAC